UGGAAAUCUGUCGAAACACACGAAGGACAA
rnacentral:piRNA from 1 species